AACCUUAAAAGUUCCCUGAGCAUAAAAGUUUGGUCCCAGCUUUAUAGUCAGCUUUUUCUUAAUUUACACAUGCAAGUCUCUCCACCCCUGUGAAGAUUCAUUACCCUCCCAAGAGGAUUAAUGGAAAUGGUAUCAGGCACAAUAGUAUGCCCAUAACACCUAACAACAUGUCACACCCAUAAGGGUCACAGCAGUGAUUAAUAUUGAACAUAAGUGCCAACUUGAUUCAGUCAGAGCAAGACAGGGCCGGCCAAACUAGUGCCAGCAGCCGCGGUUACACUAGAAGCCCAAGUUGACUCCUAUCGGCGUAAAGCGUGGUUAAGGAUUAAAAAAAAAUUGGAAUCAAAUGUUAACUUAGCGGUAAUAUGCUUGUUAAAAAGAAGCCCACAAACGAAAGUUAUUCCAAUUCUCAUGACUUGAACCCACGAUAGCUGGAGCACAAACUAGGAUUAGAUACCCUACUAUGUCCAGCCCUAAACCUUAAAUUACACCUCCUACCCC
rnacentral:rRNA from 1 species